ensembl:lncRNA
GCGACCUUCUGUGGCCACGAGGGGGACAAGUAGCUGUCACGUCAAAACGAUGUGCCGUCCAGCUCUUGGAAAACAGAUUUUAAUGGACCAACGAAAAACGUCUAUUGAUAAAUAUGAGGAGAGAAGAGAUGCCAUUGCUUUACCUCCAUACAGAUGAAGACGGCUGAGCUGAAGCGAAGGCCGUUCACAGAAUGACGUCAAGGAUUCCACUUUGAUGGUUCAGACACACCUGUGGAGCAGCAGCGGCUUGACUUCAGGAAGGUUUGAAUUUAUACUUUUGCUCUCAUCCAGUCUGCCUAUUGAGGACUUGCUGUCCAACAUUUCUUUUCCCUGUGACAUAGUGGGACUAGGAGUCCAAAUGUCUGCAUCAUCUUAGGCUUCAGUCACACUGAUAACCCCCCUGGGUAACCACCAGUUGUGAGGGAAAUGUCUAUAUUCUGUGAAUAGUUGCUGCGUGAAAUUUGCUUCAGUUACUAGUAGGUUAUGUCAGUUGCAAGUAGUUUGCUUGCCUGCAAGAUACUGACUUAUCCGCAAACACCAAGUAUUCACCAAGCAGCAGUGAAACUGUGACAAGUGCAACACAGACUAGAAACAGAAAGCACUCACCUUCAAAGUGUGUUAGUGAAAUGUGUCAGAAAAUGUGUCACAUUUUCCUUACUGCGCUUUGUGUCUUUCACGCAAACUACGGGUAGCCAUGGUAAUCUAUUGCUUUGGUAAUUGACCAAAACAGUCGCAAGGAGGGGUUUUUUGCAGAACCCUCUUUGCAGCCAAUUUCACUUGACAGCGGCCAGUAACCUCCAGCAACAAACCACCAAAGAGACACACGUUUUUGCCUUGUGACAUACAACAUACAGCUUUUUUGAAACCUGAGAAGUAAUGAAAUGCUUGUUGAAACUUAAAAUUGACAUAAACAAACUUCUACAUGAUUUGUCUUUACAGGUGACUACUCAGUGUGCCUCAGGGUUGGAGACGAUAUUAUUUCCAGGAGCUCUCAUGAUCCCUCACCACCUCUCUUCAUGUCUUGAUUUCCUGUUCGAGCAUUUCAUCCGCCUUACUUCCAUUAGUUUGUUUUGUCUUUUGCUUAACUGAUGAAGACAUUGUUUUUUCAGUUGUAUUUUUUAUUUUGAUUACGUGCAUAUGCAGCGUAAUGUCCUCGUUGUGCAUAAUCACAUAUGAAAGAUUACUUUGGCAAUUGCAUUUGUGGUGAGUGCUAUAUCAGUUUUCCCACAAUCAAAUCACUCUGAUGAUCAUAUGAUAAAGGAAAGUGUUUGUCUGUGUCGAUCCAUUCCCUAGGAAAUGGUGAUUUCCUUUCCUGUUCACUCACAUUUACAAACUGAAAAUAUGUAAUGGGAGCUUUUACUUGACUAUUCAGCUGGUGUCGAAUUUGACAUGCUUGAAACAGAAAAUGUAAUAAAAUAAAGCUACAUAAAAUAAAAUUAUUUUC